rnacentral:rRNA from 1 species
AAAUUGAAGAGUUUGAUCAUGGCUCAGAUUGAACGCUGGCGGCAGGCCUAACACAUGCAAGUCGAACGGUAACAGGAAGCAGCUUGCUGUUUCGCUGACGAGUGGCGGACGGGUGAGUAAUGUCUGGGAAACUGCCUGAUGGAGGGGGAUAACUACUGGAAACGGUGGCUAAUACCGCAUAACGUCGCAAGACCAAAGAGGGGGACCUUCGGGCCUCUUGCCAUCAGAUGUGCCCAGAUGGGAUUAGCUAGUUGGUGAGGUAACGGCUCACCAAGGCGACGAUCCCUAGCUGGUCUGAGAGGAUGACCAGCCACACUGGAACUGAGACACGGUCCAGACUCCUACGGGAGGCAGCAGUGGGGAAUAUUGCACAAUGGGCGCAAGCCUGAUGCAGCCAUGCCGCGUGUAUGAAGAAGGCCUUCGGGUUGUAAAGUACUUUCAGCGGGGAGGAAGGUGUUGUGGUUAAUAACCGCAGCAAUUGACGUUACCCGCAG